CUCUAAUAGCGUAUAUUAAAGUUGUUGCAGUUAAAAAGCUCGUAGUUGGACUUUGGAGCCGGUUGAUCUGGCGGCUUCGGUCGCACGGCUCAACCGGCUUCUUUCUUCUGGGGACCGCGUCGCAUUUCACUAUGCGGCGUCGGGACGCAGAUCGUUUACUGUGAAAAAAUUAGAGUGUUCAAGCAGGCCAUCGCUUGAAU
rnacentral:rRNA from 1 species